UACGUAGGGAGCAAGCGUUGUCCGGAUUUACUGGGUGUAAAGGGUGCGUAGGCGGCUAUGCAAGUCAGUUGUGAAAACUAUGGGCUCAACCCAUAGCCUGCAACUGAAACUGCGUGGCUUGAGUGAAGUAGAGGUAGGUGGAAUUCCCGGUGUAGCGGUGAAAUGCGUAGAGAUCGGGAGGAACACCAGUGGCGAAGGCGACCUACUGGGCUUUAACUGACGCUGAGGCACGAAAGCAUGGGUAGCAAACAGGAUUAGAUACCCUGGUAGUCCAUGCCGUAAACGAUGAUUACUAGGUGUGGGGGGUCUGACCCCCUCCGUGCCGGAGUUAACACAAUAAGUAAUCCACCUGGGGAGUACGACCGCAAGGUUGAA
rnacentral:rRNA from 1 species